rnacentral:rRNA from 1 species
UACGGAGGAUGCGAGCGUUAUCCGGAUUUAUUGGGUUUAAAGGGUGCGUAGGCGGAAUGAUAAGUCAGCGGUGAAACUCACAGGCUCAACCUGUGCCGUGCCGUUGAAACUGUCGUUCUUGAAUGCGGAUGCUGUGGGAGGAAUGUGUAGUGUAGCGGUGAAAUGCAUAGAUAUUACACAGAACACCGAUUGCGAAGGCAUCUCACAAAGCCGUUAUUGACGCUGAGGCACGAAAGUGUGGGGAUCAAACAGGAUUAGAAACCCUUGUAGUCC